rnacentral:tRNA from 1 species
CCGCGUUUUCUCGGCGAUUACGUCGGACUUCGGAUCCGAAGGUUGGGGGUUCGACUCCCUCCGGGCGUA